AUUGAACGCUGGCGGCAUGCCUUACACAUGCAAGUCGAACGGUAACGGGCCUUCGGGUGCCGACGAGUGGCGAACGGGUGAGUAAUGUAUCGGAACGUACCUUUCAGUCGGGGAUAACGUAGCGAAAGUUACGCUAAUACCGCAUAUUCUGUGAGCAGGAAAGCAGGGGAUCGCAAGACCUUGCGCUGAUUGAGCGGCCGAUAUCAGAUUAGCUAGUUGGUGAGGUAAAGGCUCACCAAGGCGACGAUCUGUAGCGGGUCUGAGAGGAUGAUCCGCCACACUGGAACUGAGACACGGUCCAGACUCCUACGGGAGGCAGCAGUGGGGAAUUUUGGACAAUGGGGGCAACCCUGAUCCAGCCAUGCCGCGUGAGUGAAGAAGGCCUUCGGGUUGUAAAGCUCUUUCGGCCGGGAAGAAAUCGUAUGGGUUAAUACCCUGUGCGGAUGACGGUACCGGCAUAAGAAGCACCGGCUAACUACGUG
rnacentral:rRNA from 1 species